UGGGGAAUAUUGGACAAUGGGCGGAAGCCUGAUCCAGCCAUGCCGCGUGUGUGAAGAAGGCCUUUUGGUUGUAAAGCACUUUAAGCGAGGAGGAGGCUACUAGUAUUAAUACUACUAGAUAGUGGACGUUACUCGCAGAAUAAGCACCGGCUAACUCUGUGCCAG
rnacentral:rRNA from 1 species